rnacentral:rRNA from 1 species
GCGCAGCAGGCGCGAAACUUUACAAUGCGGGAAACCGCGAUAAGGGGACACCGAGUGCCAGCAUAUUAUGUUGGCUGUCCACAUGUGUAAACGGCAUGUGUUAGCAAGGGCCGGGCAAGACCGGUGCCAGCCGCCGCGGUAACACCGGCGGCCCGAGUGGUAAUCACUUUUAUUGGGUCUAAAGGGUCCGUAGCCGGUUUGAUCAGUUCUUCGGGAAAUCUGACAGCUCAACUGUUAGGCUUCCGGGGAAUACUGUCAGACUUGGGACCGGGAGAGGUAAGAGGUACUACAGGGGUAGGAGUGAAAUCUUGUAAUCCCUGUGGGACCACCAGUGGCGAAGGCGUCUUACCAGAACGGGUCCGACGGUGAGGGACGAAAGCUGGGGGCACGAACCGGAUUA